rnacentral:rRNA from 1 species
UACGUAGGGGGCAAGCGUUGUCCGGAUUUAUUGGGCGUAAAGAGCGUGUAGGCGGCUUGGUAGGUCCGCUGUGAAAACUCGAGGCUCAACCUCGAGAUGUCGGCGGAAACCACUUGGCUAGAGUCCGGAAGAGGAGAGUGGAAUUCCCGGUGUAGCGGUGAAAUGCGCAGAUAUCGGGAAGAACACCGGUGGCGAAGGCGGUUCUCUGGGCAUUACCUGACGCUGAGGAGCGAAAGCAUGGGGAGCGAACAGG